CGGAACGGGUGAGUAAUACAUCGGAACGUGUCGAGAAGAGGGGGAUAACCACCCGAGAGGGUGGCUAAUACCGCAUAAAUUCUGAGGAAGAAAGCUGGGGACCUAGGAAUAGGCCUAGCGCUUUUUGAGCGGCCGAUGUCGGAUUAGCUAGUUGGUGAGGUAAAGGCUCACCAAGGCGAAGAUCUGUAGCGGGUCUGAGAGGAUGAUCCGCCACACUGGGACUGAGACACGGCCCAG
rnacentral:rRNA from 1 species